rnacentral:rRNA from 1 species
CCUACGGGCGGCAGCGGUGAGGAAUAUUGGUCAAUGGGCGCGAGCCUGAACCAGCCAAGUAGCGUGAAGGAUGACUGCCCUACGGGUUGUAAACUUCUUUUAUAAAGGAAUAAAAUGAGGCACGUGUGCCUUUUUGUAUGUACUUUAUGAAUAAGGAUCGGCUAACUCCGUGCCAGCAGCCGCGGUAAUACGGAGGAUCCGAGCGUUAUCCGGAUUUAUUGGGUUUAAAGGGAGCGUAGAUGGGUUGUUAAGUCAGUUGUGAAAGUUUGCGGCUCAACCGUAAAAUUGCAAUUGAUACUGGCAGUCUUGAGUACAGUUGAGGUAGGCGGAAUUCGUGGUGUAGCGGUGAAAUGCUUAGAUAUCACGAAGAACCCCGAUUGCGAAGGCAGCCUACUAAACUGUCACUGACAUUGAUGCUCGAAAGUGUGGGUAUCAAACAGGAUUAGAUACCCUUGUAGUC